UAUAAAGAUAAAUUAUUAAAAUAAAAUAUAAAAUUUAAAAACUGUAAUUGGUUGGUGGUGGUGGUGAUUUAUGUUGUUUCCCUCAAAACCAUUUUUCAUUUUUCAACAAAUUAAUAUCAAAAAUUAAAAUAACAAUAAAACCAUAAUAGUAAAGGUGACAAGAAUAAAUAAAUAAAUAAAUAAAAUAAAUAAAAAACAAAAACUAAAUAAAUAAAUAAAAAAAUAUAUAUGAAGUGUAAGUUUUAUAUUAAGAAAGUACACUGACACUGCAAACUAAGUAGUGUUAUAAUACAGAGGAAAAACAAUAAAGGUGAUAAAAUAAUAUUAUACGUAUAUAUAAAAAAAAUACUUCUUUACCAACAACAUUAAAAUAAAAGGUUAAAAAUAAAAAUAAAAAUCUGUGAUAAUGUCAGUUAAAAAAAUGUUACUAUUAACAAUUUUUUAUAUUUGGACAACAUCAUAUGAAGUUAACGGUUAUAAAACAUAUAAUAAUAGAUAUACCGUUGCUUCAGCAUCAUCAUCAGCAUCAUCCUCUUCAGAUAUAUCAUCAACAGAUAAUGAUCAUCCAAAUGAUAUUAUAUUAAGAGAAAAUGAUGCACCGGUAAGUUUUCCAAUGAAGGAGUUGGAGAAAUUCAACAGUAUUUCAACGUUAGAAGAACUUUACGAAAUGUUAGGAGAGGAACAGACUGAUGCUCCUGGAGAUUCAUUAAGUGAAUUGGGCUUAAAUUUAGGCAGAAGUGCUGUUCAAAUACCAGUCCAAGCAAAAUGUGAACCUAGAGAUACUGUUGUCGAUAUAGUUCCAGAGAAUUCAUCCAGACAUCGUAUAUAUUUCCCAGGAUGUAUAUUAGUUAAAAGAUGUAGUGGUUGUUGUAUUCCAAGAGAACUUAAAUCUUGUCAACCAAGUUCAACAUCACUUUUGAAUUAUGCUGUUGUUGUUAGCGAUUUUGAUAUGAAAACAGGACGUACUAAAUUAAGACCAAAAAGAGAAAUUGUUACAGUUGAACAACAUGAUUCAUGUACAUGUCAAUGUAUAGUUAAAGCAGAGGAUUGUGGAGAGUUCCAAAAAUAUGAUCCAAUCAACUGUCAAUGUAUAUGUCCUAAUGUUGAUGAUAAGGAAAAAUGUGAAAAGGAUAAUGAAAAAAUUUGGGUACCACAAAGUUGCGCAUGCAGAUGUCGAAAUCAAUCUGUUUGUACAUCGGGAACAUUUUUUGAUGAAAAUAUUUGUGCAUGUAAAGCGAUUGAUGACUUUGACUUUUAGCCUCUUUUAAUAGAAUUUAUAAUGUGAAAUUAUAAAAAAAUAAAUAAAACAGAACAAAAAUAUAUAUAGAAAUUUUAAAUAUAUAUAUAUAUUUAUAUAUAAUGCCAUUAUAUACUCAUAAUCUCUUUUUUACAUAUUAUAAUAUAAUUACAAUAGCAUAUUAUAUAAUACAUACAUAUUUUAUUUUGAAUUGUUUUUCAAUAAAAUUGUUAAAUGAUUAAAAAAAAAUUAAUUUAAAAAUUUUCUGCCAUGUAAUCGACGUAACAGAAUAGUUAGCCCAGUUUUAGUUGAUCCUGAUACAAAUACACAAUACACAAUUGCCGGUUAAAGAAUAAUUAAAUAUAAAUUUAUAACCAACAUAAUUUAAUUAUUAUUUUAAAAAAUUAAUUCAUAAUUAAUUUAUAUUAUUAUAUAAAAUAAAAAAAUUUUAGUGAAGGAAUAAAAAAAAAUUAUAUAAAUACACAAAAUUUACACAUUUCAAAAUUGAAAAUUGUAUUAAAAUUGUAUAAUUGAAUUAAUUUAUUCCAAUAAUACAAUAUUACAAUAUUUUUAGCGAUUAUUCAAAAAUUUCAUACAGAAAAGAAUAAUCAAAGGAAAUAUUUAGUUGAAAAAGGCUAGUCUCACUAUAUGUGCGUCAGUAUUAUCAGGGAUUUCAAGAUAACAUGAUACAUAUAAACACAAUUAUCUUUUAAAUACAAAUUUUUGGUAAUUUUAUUUUGGAAACUUAAAUUGAACGAAUUCAAAAAUUUAACUUCACUUAAAUUUAAGAACACUAUUUAGAUGUUAAAGGCUCAAAAAAGUUUAUGUUUCAUUAAAGUGUUAAAUUGAAUAAUUAAAAAAACUGUUGUUACAAGAUUACUGAUUCUUGCAGUUUUUAAGCACAAAAAUCUUAAAAACUGAAAUGACUACAUAGAUUUGGAAUUAGUUUAGCAAUAUAAAAACUAACUUUAUUAUUUCUAAUAUGUGUCAGAGCGAAGUUCCAGACGGAAGAAGUAAUUAGACUCGAGUGGCUCACUUGAUGUAGUCAAUUUUAAUAUUGCUAUUUGAUAAAAAAAAUCAUUUUUUCAUCACAAAAAAGGUAAACUUUCAAUUUCCUAACUCUAAAAGGUAAAAUUUAAAAAACACUAUAGCUGAACUGGCUUUUUUCAAUUCACAAAACAUUUGACUACUGGCAAAACUAAAAUAGUUAAUAAGUAUUCUUAUUUAUAUGUUAUGUAAGUUUGUAUGGAGGAGAACAAACAAAAAGAAAGAUUAAGAAAAAGCAAAAACAAAAAUGAUUCAUAAUUAAAUUAUUAAAAAUUAAAUAGAAAAAAAUAUUCUUCUGAAACAAUAUAUUUAUAAAAAAUAUGUAUUUUAAAAAAACAAAAACUUUUGUAUUCAUUGAGGUCAUUAAAAAUCCUACAUAUCGCUCGUUCGCUGCAACAUAAAUCAAAAAAUAUGGUUUCUGAGUUAAUUAUAUAGAAAUGAGCACCUAAAACAUUUCUUUUUUAUGGAGAAACGUUAUUUCUCUAGCUUGAAAAAUACACUUUUCUAUGCAGUGUUGCAGCAAACAAAUUAUAUUUGUGCUAACCAAUUUUGUGUUUGAACGAUUAUU